AACCAAAGUGUUGAGUUCAGUUCAGGGUAACAGGUACCCCUGUUCUGGUAAUUAAGCUUUGGGACAGUGAGUGACUGGGAAGUGCACCAUGGUGACUGAAAGUUUGUUUUAUGCCACCUGUGUUUCUCAGCCUACAAAC
rnacentral:snoRNA from 1 species